UCAUUGGCACAGCAGACUCCUGCUGUGACCCCUGCUAAAAUAAGCAUGAAAGCCAAGCUAGAUACCAGAUAGAGCUGAAUACGGGUGUAAGGUGAGUGUGAACAGAUCUGGUUUCUGAAGGGGCCGUCCUGUGGUACAUCAGCCCCGCCCUGCCGGGUUCCAAGCAGCUUCUCCUCGCAGCUCUCAGAAACAUCAGUGUGGCCAGAGCUCAGCAUGUAGGGCAGAUUCCCCAGGCCUCAUGCCAAGACGUAAAUCUUGGCAACCCCGGUUUUCCCACUGUCCUUUAGCUGCUCAGGACAGCAUGAUGCUGCUUCUGGACACACAUGUUUAUUUGGCAAAAGCAAAUAUUCACCAGGGGCCUUUCUCGACAGGAGAAAAAAUGGCAGAAGCAUCCUCGGUUCAGCCGGUGUGGUGCCCUUGUCUUUCUUCUCCUCUCCAUGGGUCUGCUCCUGAGCCCCGCUGUCCUCCAUGUGUUUAGCUAAUCUCAAGGCUUCUUGGGAUUCAUCUUUUGUCUUCAUUUGCUCAAGGGCAGAGUAGUCCCUGCCAAAGACUGACUCUUCCAACAGACAGCCUCCUCCUUCCCCGAGUUUCACCCCAGUGAGAAUCCCAGCCCUAACCUGGCUGGGCACCUGCCCAGGGCACCCCGGGUCCUCUGUGGUGGAAGCUGAAUUUUCAUGCUUAGUUCAGCUUAGCUGGAAACCCCAAGCAGACCAGAGCACGAGCAGGCAGCACGGCUGGGAGGCGUUUACUCUCACACCGCUUUUAACAAAUGUGUGCUCCCAAUGUGUGCUGGGCUUUCCCAGCAAGACUUCACCUGACUAGUUGACAUGAAGCCCGGGGACCCCAGUGAGUGUAGAGAGCCAGGCCCAUGUGAAACAGCAGCGGGGAAGGUCCCUAGACCCAGACACCAAGUCCCCCCGAGGCCAACCAGGACCUCCCCCAACAGAUGUCGGAUGUGUUUCUAUGAGGCUCUGACCCACCCAGAAAAGCCACCUCCCAUGCCAAGUCAGGAAUCAUGACCUAAUUCUGUGUCUAAUCUCUUUCCAAAAGGACGCCAGUCCUAUUGGAUCAGGUUCCACCCUAAAGACUUCAUUCUACGUUAAUGACCUAUUUUUUUAUUUUAAUUUUUAUUUUCUUUGAGACAAAGUCUCACUCUGUCACCCAGGCUGGAACAUAGUGGUGUCAUCUCGGCUCACCACAACCUCUACCUCCCAGGUUCAAGCAAUCCUCCUGACUCAGCCUCAGGAGUAGCUGGGAUUACAGGUGCGCACCACCACACCGGGCUAAUUUUUGUAUUUUUAGUGGAGACAGGGUUUUACCAUGUUGGCCAGGCUGGUCUCGAACUCCUGACCUCAAGUGAUCCACCCGCCUCGGCCUCCCAAAGUGCUGGGAUUACAGGCGUGAGCCACCACGCCUGGCCUAGACUUAAUGACCUCUUUAAAGGCCCCGCCUCCAAAUACAGUCUCAUUCUGAGGUCCUGGGGGUUAGGGCUUCAAUACCGAAAUUUGUGGGGGACACAAGUCAGUCCACAGCACUGAGCAUCUCCGUUCACUUAGUAGAGUGAGAACCCCCCAGGUAUUUCUGGGGGUUCCUUUGACGGAAGCUGUGAAGCUCAGAACAUUCUCCCUGUGACAGAGUCCGUCCAGGUCCACUGUUGCCUUCUCCCCUCCCCUUUCCAGGCUGAGACGGGCAGCACCUCCCAGCCCUCCUUGCGGCCAGGUAGGGCUGUGGGCCUGGGUCUACCCCCCACAGUGUGGGAAGAUGUGAGGUGCACCAAUCUGGGACCCAGCCAGAGCAUCCCAGGGGUCAUCCCCGCUCCCCGGUCCACCUCCAUUCCCCAUGGAAGCUGUGAGGGAGGGUGCCCCACUCCAGGGUCACUGCUUGGAGAGAGUUGCCAGGAGGGCCAGUGCCAGGAGCUCCCACGCCGGGCUCCUCGUUGCCGGGCCCUGAGCUCUCGGGUUAUUUGUUACCGCAGCACAUCCUUGUGUCCCUCACAUUCCCAUGGGCCAGACAACGCUCGUCACCCCUCGGCAAUGCCAGCAGCAGCCAUUCACCGACUCACACAGUCCCCUCUCAUGCUCCAAACAAAUGUCUCCUGGGUACUGGCACGCCAGGCUCUGCAGCUGAGUCCCGGGGUGGAGAGGGGCACCAACCAGGAACUUGGGAUGAGGGAAGCCCCCGAGUGCCCUGGUUAAGCAUAAAGUCGGGAUGCCCAGCUAAACUUGAGUUUCAGAUAAGCAACAAAUAAUUUUUCAGUGUAAGUAUAUCCCAAAUGUUGCAUGGAUUCUCUCCACGUGGACAUGGUGGGUACAUCGGCUCAUGCUCCUGCUGACAGCCAUCAGUGUCCAUUAGAAGGGAGCCCCGGGGCUGCAGA
rnacentral:lncRNA from 10 species